ensembl:lncRNA
CUUAGAACCAUUAAUCACCACCCUCUGUCUGUGGCCUUUCAACCAAUUUCUUAUCCAACGAGUGGUCCACCCAUCAAAUCCACAUCCCUCCAAUUUGGAGAUAAGGAUGUGGUGGGAGACCAUGUCAAAGGCCUUGCUCAAGUCCAGGUAAAUGACAUUGGUCACCUUCCCUUUGUCCACCAAUGCCGUCACUCCAUCAUAGAAGGCCACCAGAUUGGUUAAGCAUGACCUUCCCCUGUUGAAGCCAUGCUGUCU